rfam:Eutrema salsugineum unplaced genomic scaffold scaffold_8, whole genome shotgun sequence.
AAUCCGUGGUGUGGGCAUUGGUUUGUAUAGCUCCUGAGCCGUUCCCAAGCUUCACUAAAGCUUUUGUUGUUGUGCUGUGUGAAACUUUUGAUCUGAUUCCUGAGCUU